rfam:Myotis davidii contig67623, whole genome shotgun sequence.
AAAAAGGCUUUCCUAAAAGCCACAGGCACUUUCUUGUUAGCAAAAU